rnacentral:rRNA from 1 species
CCCUUAGAUGUUCUGGGCUGCACGCGUGCUACACUGAUUAUUUCAACAAGUGUUUUAACUGGAGAGUUUGCGUAAUCCUGAAAUGUUAUCGUGAUGGGAGUAGAGUAUUGUAUUUGUUAAUCUUUAACGAGGAAUUCCUAGUGAGUGUAGGUUUAUAAGUUGUUCUGAUUACGUCCCUGCCCUUUGUACACACCGCCCGUCGCUCCUACCGAUUGAUUGAUCCGGUGAAUUACAUAGAAUUUUGCGUUUUACAUGACGGAAGACGAAGUGUUUUAAACCUUAUCAUUUAGAGGAAGGAGAAGUCGUAACA